UUCUUUGUUUCAUAGAUCUUUAUUAUCUUUGGAUGACAUUUCAUUCUGUUUCUUAUAAACAAUCUUUUUUAAAAAAGUGAUAUGCUUUUUACUGAAAGAACAAUAUUUUUAGGUCUAAGUAUUUGGCAUAGAACUAUCAAUCUGAGCGGGUUAUGUAACAUGGUCUUUGAAAAUAAUAACGCAUGUGUAUAGUGAGUCAGAUCGGAAGGGUUUGUAUUAUAAAGUUCAGGUAUGUAGUUCUCGUAUUCAGUGGCGUU